rnacentral:lncRNA from 1 species
AAAUAUACCCAAGGUAAAAAUGGUGGAACCAAUAGCAGGGAAAUGUUACAACAUAGAGAGCUGAUGAGAAACUAAUGACUUUAAACAUACAAAGGAGUUAAUAAUUUAAACAUACAAAGGAGAAAUCAUUGCCGGAACUAACCACCUCAGGUGAGCCAACUGCCACAAAUGCUAUUCCUAGCAUUGACCACCAGGUGCAAAUAAAAAGAUCACUUGCUUAACAAAGCUGAAGGUACAUAGCAAUACAGAAAUUAGAAUCUCCGUCAGAGAAGGUGAAAGAGGUAAAGCCGUUGAGAGAGGUACAAGGACGGCAGGAGCUCUUUCUUAUCUAGAACAAUAAAAAUAGUAUAAUGUUGUCGCUGGCCAGGCAAAUCAGCUGAGGGAGAGUCAGGAAGUGAUCAAAGUCCUAGCUACGGUCACAGUCACAUGUGAAGUUGGCCUGAACCCUCUUUGUGUUUCAAAGACAGGUCUGCAAAUUGCUGAUCAAGAUCUCUACUUGUCGUGCGUCGAUGGCUGAAAGAUGAUUCCUGUUGCUGCUGCGACUGUGGCAGUUGCUGCUGCUGGUACAAUGCUCGUAGUCUUCCUCUUUCUUUUUCCAGUACUUCAUGCUCCACUGCACAGAACAUUUACAGGGUUUAGUUUCCCGAGAAGUUAAUAAAACAAUCUUUCUACUAUAUUAACAUUAGUAUCUUUCUGGUCACCACCAUCCCCAAAACAGAACAGUUGUUCCUAUUUAAACUACAUAGUUAAUCGAGACAAAA